CCUACGGGAGGCUGCAGUGGGGAAUAUUGCACAAUGGGGGAAACUCUGAUGCAGCAACGCCGCGUGAGUGAAGAAGUAUUUCGGUAUGUAAAGCUCUAUCAGUAGGGAAGAAGAAAGACGGUAGCUGACUAAUCAGCCUCGGCUAACUACGUGCCAGCAGCCGCGGUAAUACGUAGGGGGCAAGCGUUAUCCGGAUUUACUGGGUGUAAAGGGAGCGUAGACGGCUGUGCAAGUCUGAAGUGAAAGCCCGUGGCUCAACCGCGGAACUGCAUUGGAAACUGGAUAGCUUGAGUACUGGAGAGGGAGGCAGAAUUCCUAGUGUAGCGGUGAAAUGCGUAGAGAUGAGGAGGAACACCAGAGGCGAAGGCAGCCUGCUGGACAGAAACUGACGUUGAGGCGCGAAAGCGUGGGGAGCAAACAGGAUUAGAUACCCGUGUAGUC
rnacentral:rRNA from 1 species